AUUGAACGCUGGCGGCAGGCCUAACACAUGCAAGUCGAGCGAGCGGCGGACGGGUGAGUAAUGUCUGGGGAACUGCCUGCUGGAGGGGGAUAACUACUGGAGAAGGUAGCUCAUACCGCAUAACAUCACAUGUGCCCCGAUGGGGGUAGCUCGUAGGUGUGGUACCGGCUCACCUAGGCGACGAUCCCUAGCUGGUCUUAGAGGAUGACCAGCCACACUGGAACUGAGACACGGUCCAGACGCCUACGUGAGGCAGCAGUGGGGAAUAUUGCACAAGGGGCGCAAGCCUUAUGCAGCCAUGCCGCGUGUGUGAAGAAGGCCUUCGGGUUGUAAAGCACUUUCAGCGGGGAGGCGUUACCCGCAGAAGAAGCACCGGCUAACUCCGUGCCAGCAGCCGCGGUAAUAC
rnacentral:rRNA from 1 species